UUCAAAGCCCAGGUAGCUGGUUUUUGACAC
rnacentral:piRNA from 1 species